UACGUAGGGAGCAAGCGUUGUCCGGAAUCAUUGGGCGUAAAGCGCGCGUAGGUGGUCCCGUAAGUCCGCUGUGAAAGUCAAAGGCUCAACCUUUGAAAGCCGGUGGAUACUGUGGGACUAGAGUACGGAAGAGGCGAGUGGAAUUCCUGGUGUAGCGGUGGAAUGCGCAGAUAUCAGGAAGAACACCCGUGGCGAAGGCGGCUCUCUGGGACGGUACUGACGCUGAGACGCGAAAGCGUGGGGAGCGAACAGG
rnacentral:rRNA from 1 species